rnacentral:rRNA from 15 species
CUGGUGGCCAUUGCGAGGAGCCUGAACCCGACUCCACUCCGAACUCGGCCGUUAAACUCCUCAGCGCCGAUGGUACUAUGUCUCAAGACCUGGGAGAGUAGGUCGCUGCCAGGU